AACGAACGCUGGCGGCAGGCUUAACACAUGCAAGUCGAACGAGCUGGGGCCUUCGGGUCCCGAUGCUAGUGGCGCACGGGUGAGUAACACGUGGGAACGUACCCUUUAGUACGGAAUAACUGAGGGAAACUUCAGCUAAUACCGUAUGACUCCUUCGGGAGAAAGAUUUAUCGCUAAAGGAUCGGCCCGCGUCUGAUUAGGUAGUUGGUGAGGUAAUGGCUCAACAAGCCUACGAUCAGUAGCUGGGCUGAGAGGAUGAUCAGCCACACUGGGACUGAGACACGGCCCAGACUCCUACGGGAGGCAGCAGUGGGGAAUAUUGGACAAUGGGGGCAACCCUGAUCCAGCCAUGCCGCGUGAGUGAAGAAGGCCUUCGGGUUGUAAAGCUCUUUCGACGGGGACGAUGAUGACGGUACCCGUAUAAGAAGCCCCGGCAAACUUCGUGCCAGCCGCCGCCGUAAAAC
rnacentral:rRNA from 1 species